rnacentral:rRNA from 1 species
CUACGGGAGGCAGCAGUGGGGAAUUUUCCGCAAUGGGCGAAAGCCUGACGGAGCAAUACCGCGUGAGGGAGGAAGGCUUUUGGGUUGUAAACCUCUUUUCUCAGGGAAGAACAAAAUGACGGUACCUGAGGAAUAAGCAUCGGCUAACUCCGUGCCAGCAGCCGCGGUAAUACGGAGGAUGCAAGCGUUAUCCGGAAUUAUUGGGCGUAAAGCGUCCGCAGGUGGCAGUUCAAGUCUGCUGUCAAAGGUCAGGGCUCAACCCUGAACAGGCAGUGGAAACUGAGCAGCUAGAGUGCGGUAGGGGCAGAGGGAAUUCCCAGUGUAGCGGUGAAAUGCGUAGAGAUUGGGAAGAACACCGGUGGCGAAAGCGCUCUGCUAGGCCUGCACUGACACUCAGGGACGAAAGCUAGGGGAGCGAAUGGGAUUAGAUACCCCAGUAGUCCUAGCCGUAAACGAUGGAUACUAGGCGUAGCUUGUAUCGACCCAAGCUGUGCCGUAGCUAACGCGUUAAGUAUCCCGCCUGGGGAGUACGCGCGCAAGCGUGAAACUCAAAUGAAUUGACGG